rnacentral:lncRNA from 1 species
AAUCUGUUAUUGGAUGCGGACGUAUCUUUGUUGGUUUUAAAAUCUGUCCAUGUGUUCAAUUUGCUACUGCUGUUGCUGUUUGCUAUUGUUGCUUUGCUACUUGUCACGACCCAAAUUACAUACCCGUUUGUGAUGGCGCCUCUCGUGAAGACAAGGUCAGCCAACAACCCUAAAUAUCCUCUUUAAGCAGUUAUUAAACAUAAUAGAAA